rnacentral:misc_RNA from 1 species
GUGCAUGAGUGGUGUUUGGUUUGAUACGGGUGGUCGGCUCCCUGCUUGAGCAGGCACGGCCAUGCAUACAUUCCUUUUCAUUUGGCGGCAAGGCUUGUAUAGUCUUGAUCAUAUAAGUGGGUUUCCUGUGUUGCAUACCUGAUCAACGGCAUCGUUUUGAUAAAAAUGUCCCUUUUUCGUUUGGCGAUUCAACUGCUUUGUCAAAUGAACCGUGUAGCAUCCUCUUGGAUCCAAAGUGUCGAUGUGCAUUCAUUGAUUCCUUGGCUUGUUGAGGGUCGCGUGGUCUCUUGGAUAUGGAAGCUAAAGUGGCAUGGGUUUGCAUGAUCCUAUUGUUGCCAUUGUUGAGUGUUAUCACUUCUCUUAAACGACUGGCUUUCACGUAUGGCACGUCCCGGCGUGUUUGGCUAUGUCAAAGAGGAAUG